rnacentral:rRNA from 1 species
GCAUCAUGAUUAGCCAGCAAACCUGAGCAAAGAGAACUUUAGUUCAGGCCCCCGAAACUAGACGAGCUACUCCGGGACAGCCUAUUAUAGGGCUAACCCGUCUCUGUGGCAAAAGAGUGGGACGAGCCCCGAGUAGAGGUGAUAAACCUAUCGAGCCUAGUUAUAGCUGGUUGCUUAGGAAAUGAAUAGAAGUUCAGCCCCCCGGCUUUCUUAGGACCUUAAAGUAAAACUAAUAUUGUCCCAAAGAAACCAGGAGAGUUAGUCAAAGGAGGUACAGCUCCUUUGAACAAGGACACAACCUUAACAGGCGGCUAAGGAUCAUAAUUAAUAAGGUAACCUGUUACAGUGGGCCUAAGAGCAGCCACCUGCACAGAAAGCGUUAAAGCUCAGACAGAUAUAAACCUCUUAUCCUGAUAACAAAUCCCACCCCCCUAACCGUACUAAGCCGUUCCAUGCCUCCAUGGAAGAGAUUAUGCUAGAAUGAGUAAUAAGAGAGAACAACUCUCUCCCAGCACAUGUGUAAGUCGGAUCGGACCCACCACCGACAAAUAACGAACCCAAACCAAGAGGGGACUGUAGGCCAGAAUAAACACCGAGGAAAACCUACACCAACGAAUCGUUAACCCCACACAGGAGUGCCCCCAGGGAAAGACCCAAAGGAAGAGAAGGAACUCGGCAAACACAAGCCUCGCCUGUUUACCAAAAACAUCGCCUCUUGCAAAUCAAAGCAUAAGAGGUCCCGCCUGCCCUGUGACUAUGGGUUUAACGGCCGCGGUAUUUUGACCGUGCGAAGGUAGCGCAAUCACUUGUCUUUUAAAUGAAGACCUGUAUGAAUGGCAUCACGAGGGCUUAGCUGUCUCCUCUUCCAAGUCAAUGAAAUUGAUCUGUCCGUGCAGAAGCGGACAUAAGCACAUAAGACGAGAAGACCCUAUGGAGCUUUAGACACCAGGCAGAUCACGUCAAACAACCUUGAAUUAACAAGUAAAAACGCAGUGACCCCUAGCCCAUAUGUCUUUGGUUGGGGCGACCGCGGGGGAAAAUUAAGCCCCCAUGUGGACUGGGGGCACUGCCCCCACAGCCAAGAGCUACAGCUCUAAGCACCAGAAUAUCUGACCAAAAAUGAUCCGGCAAACGCCGAUCAACGGACCGAGUUACCCUAGGGAUAACAGCGCAAUCCUCUCCCAGAGUCCCUAUCGACGAGGGGGUUUACGACCUCGAUGUUGGAUCAGGACAUCCUAAUGGUGCAGCCGCUA